rnacentral:rRNA from 1 species
AAAUUGAAGAGUUUGAUCAUGGCUCAGAUUGAACGCUGGCGGCAGGCCUAACACAUGCAAGUCGAACGGUAACAGGAAGCAGCUUGCUGCUUUGCUGACGAGUGGCGGACGGGUGAGUAAUGUCUGGGAAACUGCCUGAUGGAGGGGGAUAACUACUGGAAACGGUAGCUAAUACCGCAUAACGUCGCAAGACCAAAGAGGGGGACCUUCGGGCCUCUUGCCAUCGGAUGUGCCCAGAUGGGAUUAGCUAGU